GAGUCAAGUGAAGAAUGCCGUAGGUGACAUAAGCGACUUAAAAAAUCAAUUUCAGAUUAUGAUGAGUUUCAUGAUGGAGAAAUUUGGAUCAAAUAUUCCUCCACCAACAAAGGAAGAUCUUGGAGGCAAGAAGAGAGCAACAAAAAAAACUCAAGGAAGACAAUGGCCAAGAAGAGGGAA